rnacentral:rRNA from 1 species
AGAGUUUGAUCAUGGCUCAGAUUGAACGCUGGCGGAAUGCUUUACACAUGCAAGUCGAGCGGCAGCGCGGGGGCAACCCUGGCGGCGAGCGGCGAACGGGUGAGUAAUACAUCGGAACGUACCCUGUCGUGGGGGAUAACUAACCGAAAGGUUAGCUAAUACCGCAUACGACCUGAGGGUGAAAGCGGGGGAUCGCAAGACCUCGCGCGAUAGGAGCGGCCGAUGUCAGAUUAGCUAGUUGGUGAGGUAAAGGCUCACCAAGGCGACGAUCUGUAGCGGGUCUGAGAGGACGGCCCGCCACACUGGAACUGAGACACGGUCCAGACUCCUACGGGA